UCUUUUUGUACUGAGCACGAGUGAGGUGGUGGUAGUGGUAGUAGAAGGAGAAGGGGAAUAUGGGGAGAGAUAAGAAAUUUGUUUUAUUAGCAAAAUGGUUAUCCAUUUUAGAGUAUGCUUUAUUCUGGGAAGGAGUUUGAGCAGGUGCACUCGAAUAAUGGAGGCGUGUAGCUUAUUUGUGCGCUUAGAAGGAAAAUGUAAUGUUGCUAACUGGUGCAGAAAUGUUUGCAGAUGGGUGUCGGAGUUAAUCAAACGAAUGUGCUAGAAUUUGACAAGCAGUAUGGUCGCAACGCAUGGGUUAUUGCAAGAUGCGUUGCAUGAAGGGGAGCUGGAACUUUACGAAAGGGUUUCCAAUUAGAAAUCUUGUAAGCCAAAAGGGUUUUCGAUUAGAAAUCUUGUAAGCCGAAAGGUAUGUGAAGAAUGUGACAUUUUCAAAUAUAAUUGACAAGGUGAUCUUGGCUUUUUAAUAAAGUUUUCUAUUUAAUAA